ACUCCUACGGGACGCAGCAGUGGGGAAUAUUGCGCAAUGGGGGAAACCCUGAUGCAGCGACGCCGCGUGAGUGAAGAAGUAUUUCGGUAUGUAAAGCUCUAUCAGCAGGGAAGAAAAAAGACGGUACCUGACUAAGAAGCCCCGGCUAACUACGUGCCAGCAGCCGCGGUAAUACGUAGGGGGCAAGCGUUAUCCGGAUUUACUGGGUGUAAAGGGAGCGUAGACGGCAGUGCAAGUCUGAAGUGAAAGGCAAGGGCUCAACCCUUGGACUGCUUUGGAAACUGUGCUGCUGGAGUGUCGGAGAG
rnacentral:rRNA from 1 species